rfam:Danio rerio chromosome 14, GRCz11 reference primary assembly.
UUUAGCCACAGCCAUAUCACCCUGCAGCCCAAGAACGGUUACCCAGUGAAGCUAAGCAGGGCUGAGCCUGAUCAGUACCUGGAUGGGAGACCACAUGAGACAACUAGAUUGCUGCUGGAU